UACGGGGGGGGCAAGCGUUGUUCGGAAUUACUGGGCGUAAAGGGCUCGUAGGCGGCCAACUAAGUCAUACGUGAAAUCCCUCGGCUUAACCGGGGAACUGCGUCUGAUACUGGAUGGCUUGAGAUUGGGAGAGGGAUGCGGAAUUCCAGGUGUAGCGGUGAAAUGCGUAGAUAUCUGGAGGAACACCGGUGGCGAAGGCGGCAUCCUGGACCAACACUGACACUGAUGAGCGAAGGCGUGGGGAGCAAACAGG
rnacentral:rRNA from 1 species